rfam:Salmo salar isolate Sally breed double haploid chromosome ssa11, whole genome shotgun sequence.
UUAUUUCCAAUUUGUAAGUAACUCUGGAUAAGAGCGUCUGCUAAAUGACGUAAA